rnacentral:rRNA from 1 species
GACGAACGCUGGCGGCGUGCUUAACACAUGCAAGUCGAACGGAAAGGCCCUUCGGGGUACUCGAGUGGCGAACGGGUGAGUAACACGUGGGUGAUCUGCCCUGCACUUUGGGAUAAGCCUGGGAAACUGGGUCUAAUACCGAAUAGGACCACGCGCUUCAUGGUGUGUGGUGGAAAGCUUUUGCGGUGUGGGAUGGGCCCGCGGCCUAUCAGCUUGUUGGUGGGGUAAUGGCCUACCAAGGCGACGCCGGGUAGCCGGCCUGAGAGGGUGACCGGCCACACUGGGACGGAGAUACGGCCCAGACUCCAACGGGAGGCAGCAGUGGGGAAUAUGGCACAAUGGGCGCAAGCCUGAUGCAGCGACGCCGCGUGAGGGAUGACGGCCUUCGGGUUGUAAACCUCUUUCAAUAGGGACGAAGCGCAAGUGACGGUACCUAUAGAAGAAGCACCGGCCAACUACGUGCCAGCCGCCGCCGUAA